AGUGUGAGAGAGGCAGCCUCGGGAGCGGACCAAUCAGGAGGCAGGCGCGGCGGCGGCAUCAGUCGGGAGAGGAGCGCAGUCAACGACUACUGCAGCGGGAAAUACAAUGUUCUCUUAUAUUUCGUGAUAUUAAUGUGUGGCAAAAUGGCAGAGGAGCUUCUCUCCUUAAAGUGGAAUAACCACCAGGCCCACUUUGUGGACAUCCUCACAUUCCUGCGGGAACAGGAAAUUUUUGUGGAUGCCACAUUGGCCUGUGGUGGGAAGCUUUAUGCAGCGCAUAAAUUUGUUCUCAGUACCUGUAGUGACUAUUUCAAACAGAUGUUUACAAAAAACCCGAGUAAACAUCCAAUAGUGUUUAUGAAAGAUGUGACAUCGCGUGAUCUCGAAGCACUUUUGGACUUCAUGUAUAAUGGUGAAGUGAAUGUUCCUCAGUCUAGUCUAGGAUCUCUAAUAAAAACAGCAGAAGGAUUACAGAUAAAAGGUUUAGCAGUGCCUGAUGAUCCACCUGCCCCGAAAAGAGAACGAGAUAGAGAAAGAGAUAAACGAGAAAGUAAAACACAGCUGGAACACUUUAGUCCCCCUGCCAAGAGACAAAGACCAAGAGAACGAUCUCCUCCCCAUUCAUCUCCAUCCCAACCACCUGUUUCACAUCCAUUAUCUUUACACACCCCAACUACACCUUCAGUAUCCAGAUCUCGAUCCCCAUUACCCCCAGCCCCUUCUGUUGGUGCUUCUCAAGUUGGUAUGCCCCCAGUGGAAGCAACUUUAGAUGAAGACAGUAGAACAAGUAUUCAAAGUGGUGUCAGUGGACUUAGUGAACAAAAUUCAAGCACAACACCUAGUCUAAGUUCUAAACAAGGCAGCAGUCAACCUCAAACAAACACUGGAGAAACCACCUCUCAUACAGACCAACUAACGCCCAGUCAUACUGGAGAAGAACCCUCCCCUGGACCCUCAGGGCUCCAUAAACCGCAGCAGUCAAAAGAAGAGCCUGAAUUUGAAAUAAAACAAGAGGAUGUGGUAGAUCUAGGUGAAGAUGAUGAAGGGGAUUGGGGUGUAGAAGGGGAUGGGGGAGGGGGAGACUCCUCAAUGGGGUCAGAAAAUCCCCCAAAUUUCCCUGAAGUUAUGUUACCUCACACAGAUGGCACCAUGCCUCCCACUGGAGAUCCAGCAAUGGGGCAUGUGGGGUGGCCAGGUUUGGUGGGGCAUCGCUCUGUAGAGGCCCAGGAUAUCGGCUUAGGGGGUCAAACUGCCCUCGUGCACAACCCCCUGCAGCAUUCCUCAGUUCUCACCCCUCAGUCAACCACCCAUUCCUCUGAAGUGUACAUGCGACCAUUCUCGUGCCCAUUCUGUGAGAGUCGAUUCAAGACCAAGCAACACCUGACACAACAUCAGAGGCUCCACACGGGUGAAAAGCCCUAUGCCUGCACUCAUUGCCGUGCUCGUUUCACGCAAAUGACCCCACUGAAGCGUCAUAUGGCUAAAUUACACCCAGAUUUAACUCUGAAUUUUCAAAAUUCACCUUCAAGCUAUGCUGCACCAUAAGAUAGUACUAGAGUACUUUUACAGUUUUGGAGAAGUCUCUUGACAAACCUGAGGGAGUGAAACUUAAUUUAGCAGUGCACCAUUUCUUCAUAGAGGGCGUCUUGGUGCAACCUAAGGACUUUUUGGGCUUAUCAUCUUUUCAAGAUAAUGUGGGACGAGUUCCUGGUGGCAGCUUUUCACAUAGAAUGAGAGCAUUAACGAGUAACUUAGAGGGUGG
rnacentral:misc_RNA from 1 species